rnacentral:lncRNA from 1 species
CUUUCUUUCCCUGCCUCUUGUCAAGGAUGCUUCCUCACUCUGCCUGGGCAGCCGAUAAUGCAGUGAGCAGGGGAGAGGACAGAGACAGAACACUGCAGAUUUAAUCGAGCUUUGCCUCUUAUUAUUACACGGUCCUGGGCAAUUUAUGUAAUCUUGCUGAGCCUCAGUUUCCUGUCCUAUAAUGGGGAUCAAGCUUCACCUGCAGGGUCAUUCUGAGAGAGAAAUACAAUGAAAGUUGUUAAGAAUGUGGAAGAGUUAAUGAGUAUUCACAUGUUGGAUCUGAGCUGUUCUGACAAUGGUGAAGACACCUGGGAGAGGAAUGCCAGGGAAUGCUGAUCUUCAGAAAACAGGUAGGAGGACAGAGAAGCCCAAAAC